ACACGUAGGGGGCGAGCGUUGUCCGGAAUUACUGGGCGUAAAGGGCGUGUAGGCGGCUGAUUAAGUCAGUUGUAAAAGGCUGCGGCUCAACCGCAGGAAUGCAAUUGAAACUGAUCAGCUUGAGGGCAAGAGAGGGAAGCGGAAUUCCUAGUGUAGCGGUGAAAUGCGUAGAUAUUAGGAGGAACACCAGUGGCGAAGGCGGCUUUCUGGCUUGUCCCUGACGCUGAGGCGCGAAAGCGUGGGGAGCAAACAGGAUUAGAUACCCUGGUAGUCCACGCUGUAAACGAUGGGUACUAGGUGUAGGGGGUGUUGAUACUCUCUGUGCCGCAGCAAACGCAUUAAGUACCCCGCCUGGGGAGUACGGCCGCAAGGCUGAA
rnacentral:rRNA from 1 species